rfam:Arthrobacter sp. Hiyo1 DNA, contig: contig00321.
CUUCAAGAGAUGUGGCGCCAAGCUCCGACUUGCCACACGCCAACCCCAUGUUCACGGGUGGUUCGGAUGAAGAAGCGGCCCGGCUCGGACCAGAGACAACCGAACGGGCAAGAGCAACUC